rnacentral:rRNA from 1 species
UACGUAGGGGGCAAGCGUUGUCCGGAAUCAUUGGGCGUAAAGAGCGUGUAGGCGGCCCGGUAAGUCCGCUGUGAAAACUCGAGGCUCAACCUCGAGACGUCGGUGGAAACCGUUUGGCUAGAGUCCGGAAGAGGAGAGUGGAAUUCCCGGUGUAGCGGUGAAAUGCGCAGAUAUCGGGAAGAACACCCGUGGCGAAGGCGGCUCUCUGGGACGGUACUGACGCUGAGACGCGAAAGCGUGGGGAGCGAACAGG